UAGGGAAUAUUGGUCAAUGGAUGGAAGUCUGAACCAGCCAUGCCGCGUGCAGGAAGAAGGCCUUCUGGGUUGUAAACUGCUUUUGCCAGGGGAUAAAACGACCAUGCGUGGUUAAUUGAAGGUACCUGGUGAAUAAGCCACGGCUAACUACGUGCCAGCAGCCGCGGUAAUACGUAGGUGGCAAGCGUUGUCCGGAUUUAUUGGGUUUAAAGGGUGCGUAGGCGGUCUAUUAAGUCAGUGCUGAAAUACUCCAGCUUAACUGGAGGGGUGGCAUUGAUACUGAUGGACUUGAGUACAGAUGAGGUAGGCGGAAUUGACGGUGUAGCGGUGAAAUGCAUAGAUAUCGUCAAGAACACCGAUAGCGAAGGCAGCUUACUGGGCUGUAACUGACGCUGAUGCACGAAAGUGUGGGGAUCAAA
rnacentral:rRNA from 1 species